UAACGAAUAUUGGACAAUGAGCGAAAGCUUGAUCCAGCGACGCCGCGUGCAGGAAGAAGUCCUUCGGGAUGUAAACUGCUGUCGGGGACCACCAAGCAAGGAAGGUUAAUACCCUUCUGCGUUGAGGAAUCCCAGAGGAAGCCACGGCUAACUUCGUGCCAGCAGCCGCGGUAAUACGAAGGUGGCGAGCGUUGUUCGGAAUCACUGGGCUUAAAGCGUGUGUAGGCGGAUUGUCAAGCGUCUUGUGAAAGCCCUCGGCUUAACCGGGGAAUUGCUUGACGAACUGAUAGUCUUGAGGCAGGUAGGGGCAACUGGAACUCUUGGUGGAGCGGUGGAAUGCGUAGAUAUCAAGAGGAACGCCAGAGGCGAAGGCGAGUUGCUGGGCCUGUCCUGACGCUGAGACACGAAAGCCAGGGGAGCGAACG
rnacentral:rRNA from 1 species